rnacentral:rRNA from 1 species
GACGAACGCUGGCGGCGUGGAUUAGGCAUGCAAGUCGAACGGUAUCAUCCUUUCGGGGGUGAGAGAGUGGCGAACUGGUGAGUAACACGUAGGUUAUCUACCCUCAAGACGGGGACAACCCAGGGAAACUUGGGCUAAUACCGGAUGUGAGCAACUUUUAGUUGUUUGAAAGGUGGCGUAAGCUGUCGCUUGGGGAUGAGCCUGCGUCCUAUUAGUUAGUUGGUGAGGUAACGGCUCACCUAGGCAAUGAUAGGUAGGCGGCCUUAACGGGUGGUCGCCCACACUGGGAUUGAGAUACGGCCCCAGACUCCUACGGGAGGCAGCAGUCGAGAAUAGUCUACAAUGGUCGGAAGACUGAUAGUGCGACGCCGCGUGAACGAUGAAUCCCUUCGGGGUGUAAAGUUCUUUUAUAUGUGAGCAGUGCUUCUUAUAUUAACAGUAUGGGGAGAGAGAUAUUAGCAUAUGAAUAAGCAACGGCUAACUCCGUGCCAGCAGCCGCGGUAAACUCG